rnacentral:rRNA from 1 species
GGUUAAGCGACUAAGCGUACACGGUGGAUGCCUAGGCAAUCAGAGGCGAUGAAGGACGUGCUAAUCUGCGAUAAGCGUCGGUAAGGUGAUAUGAACCGUGAUAACCGACGAUUUCCGAAUGGGGAAACCCAGUGCAAUUCGUUGCACUAUCGUUUGAUGAAUACAUAGUCAAACGAAGCGAACCGGGGGAACUGAAACAUCUCAGUACCCCGAGGAAAAGAAAUCAACCGAGAUUCCCCUAGUAGCGGCGAGCGAACGGGGAGCAGCCCAGAGUCUUAAUCAGCAUUAGCAUCAGGAGAACGGUCUGGAAAGGCCGGCAGUAAAGGGUGAUAGCCCCGUAUCCGAAGGUGUUAGUGUUGUGAACUCGACGAGUAGGGCGGGACACGUGUUAUCCUGUCUGAAUAUGGGGGGACCAUCCUCCAAGGCUAAAUACUCCUGAUUGACCGAUAGUGAACCAGUACCGUGAGGGAAAGGCGAAAAGAACCCCGGCGAGGGGAGUGAAAUAGAACCUGAAACCGUGUACGUACAAGCAGUGGGAGC